CUGUGUGGAAAAUGAUUUAAGACUGAGACUCUCUCCAGUACAACCCAACAUUGCAGAGUUAUGUGCAUCCUUUCAAGCACACCCUUCUCAUUAACCCGUGUUUGAUAGGACUAUUGAUGCUGCCACAUCAUCCAUCUCCUGAUCAACACCUAUAGGACCAAAGAAGUAACCCAUAGUCUCCUGGGACAACUGCUUGAAUGAAUGACAUUCUAACAUCGGCCCCUAAAACGCUGUCCCCAUCCCAAUCAUGUUGGACAAGACUAAACACUCCUACAUUGAGCACAAGGCUUUAUGUAAUCAAAAAAGGUAAAAAAGAUGCCAGAACUAAGAUCAGGGACUAUCAUGGGAAGCAUGCAGUCCACUACUGGAGUGGCAGCUCUGAUGCGUUCAACAAACCAGGCUCCCAGUCAUGUGGGAAAGGAUACACCAACCUGCCCGCUCUGCUCCUCUCUCGCUACCGGAAUCAGGGGAGUUUUAACAACCUGGAGUUUGGGACUGCGCCUCAGACCCACUGGACCCCCCGCUCCCCAUCCAACAUAGACUUCCACAGCUUCUCAUCCCCACAGCUCUAUAGAGAUCAUUUCUGAUCAAAUUUCCAUAACAGAUUGCAUGCAAAAUGGCACCCAAUUCCCUUUAUAGUGCACUACUUUUGACCAAGACCCACAUUUGACCUGUGUGGGCCCUGGUCAAAUGUAGUGCACUAUGUAGAGAAGAGGGUGCCAUUUGGGACGCACUUUAUUUUUCAAUUUCUCUAUUAAGACCAGGUGGAUAAAAUCAUUUACUUUCAAUCAAUCAAAUCCAGUUGUGUCUCUCGUAAGUGUCCAAUCUUAUCAGAGAGGCACAACUGGAUUUGAUUGAUUGAAAGUUAAAGAAUGUUGUCUGGCACAGAAGUCUCUCUCCUCAAUAUAGUUAUGACACAUAUGGUAUUUUAGCUCAUCAUGUAGCUAGCUACUCUCACUGAUACCUUUGUUGAUAUACAGCACCAAAAAGGAGAUUCUUCAAAGUAGCCACGCUUUGACUUAAUGACAGCUUUGCACACUCUUGGCAUUCUCUCAACCAGCUUCAUGAGGUAGUCACUUUGAAUGCACUUCAAUUAACAGGUGUGCCUUGUUAAAAGUCCAUUUGUGCUAUUUCUUUCCUUCUUAAAGUGUUUGAGCCAAUCAGUUGUGUUGUGACAAUGUAGGGUGUAUACAGAAGAUAGCCCUAUUUGGUAAAAUAGUUCUUGACAAAGUUCAGAAGAACAGCUCAAAUAAGCAAAGAGAAAUGGCAGUCCAUCCUUACUUUACGUGUGUUGUCUUAAGGGUCAAAAAUGACCCGCCACUAUGUUUAACAGCAGAGAAAACUCUUUCAACUUGAAAUUUGAUGACUUUUUCUAGAGUGACCUUCAUAUUUCCAUGAAAGCUGUACACCACCAGGGUACAAAGAUUAUCUUAGGGCCAUUUUUGACCCGGCAGUUAUAAAAUAAUUUACACAUCACAAAAAACAGAGACAGACAGACACACAAUGAGAAAUUGAGAUUAUAUGUGUUAUUGCAUGUGCAGCAUCUCCCCUCCAUGACCCCACAUGACUAAAGUUCACAGACAAAAUAAAAAUCAAUUUCAGAUAAAAUAAGCAUUUAUUGAAAGCAUUGUUAACUAAUGGGGAAUGCUGUCAGAGGCUAUAAAGGUGCUGCAGAUAACAGUCCUUCCAGUUCUCUCUUUGCUAAAGCCAUGAGAGCACGUUUCAGUGCCCAACAGGUCGUAGAUCUGAUUUUUUUCAGAUGUCCAGGAGCAACAAGAGAACAAUGAUUUAGAAGAGGAGGAGGUAUCUGAAGAAGAAGAUGGGGAAGAAUUACAACCCAGAGCACGAUGCAUCAUCUUCAGAAGAAGAAAUCCUCCAAGCUGAAAGAUAGACAUUUUUGUCAAAGAACAGAAAAAUAACAUGGUUCUUGUUACCAUUCGGCAGUGUAUGCCUAGCAAGCCAGCAAAGUAUGGCAUCAAGGUAUGGGUCACCUGUGAUGCACAAUCCAGCUAUGUUUGGAAGAUGCAAGUCUACACAGGGAAGCCGACCAGUGGAGGCCCGGAGAAGAACCAGGGGAAAAAUAUGAUGUGACAGAUGUGACAGAUGGACUGAGGGGGCACAAUAUCACGUGUGACAAUUUCUUCACCUUUUAGGAACUCAGCCAGCAGCUCCUGAAGAGAAAGAUCACCAUGGUUAGCACAGUUAGAAAGAACAAGCCUGAGCUCCACCCUGCACUCAUCACAACAUGGGGGAGAGAGGCCUUCUCAUCAAGGUUUACCUUGUCCCCCACCACCACUCUAGUUUCUUAUCUCCCAAAGAGGAACACUGCACAAAACAGCUGAGAUCAGUGAUUGUGAGGAUAGCAAGCCAGCCAUCAUCCUGGACUACAACCACAACAAAGGAGGCGUGGACAACCUGGACAAGGUGAUUGGAACUUAUGACUGCCCGCUGGCCACUGGUCAUCUUCCAUAACAUCCUUGAUAUGUCCUCAUACAAUGCCUUUAUGAUAUGGAACAAGAUCAAACCUACCUGGAUGCCUGAUAAGUGGAACAAGAGGAGGGUGUUCCUGGAGCAGCUGGGAAAGGCACUUGUAACCCACACAUUCAAAGAAGGGAGUGCCUCCCCUGCACAGCAGCCUCUGCAGCGCUUGUGAAAGCUGUUCAGGGGGCUGAAUCAUGUCCUGGUUCAUCUGAGGCUGCAGCUGGGGCAGGCAAGAGGAGGAGAUGCCAAUUCUGCCCCCCCAAAGAAGGAUUGUAAAACAAAUACUAUGUGCUUCUACACCUGCAUUGCUUGCUGUUUGGGGUUUUAGGCUGGGUUUCUGUACAGCACUUUGAGAUAUCAGCUGAUGUACGAAGGGCUAUAUAAAUACAUUUGAUUUGAUUUGAUUUGAUGUGCUGCACAUGUGAGAAAUACAUCUGCAAAGUCCAUGCACACACACUUGCAUACUGCCCUACAUGUGCUAAUUAGAGUUGAUUGAUUUAUGUCCUACACAUUUUUGUUUUGUAUCUAUUAUCUUAUUUUAUUCUUAUUUAUUGUUGUUCUUUAUACACUUUGUGGGUGGGGGCAAUGGUCAAAAACAUUUGAGAAGACUAGUAUUUUGUAAUUUAAUUCCUCAUUGUACAGUA